AAGUAGACCGCCUGGGGAGUACGGUCGCAAGAUUAAAACUCAAAUGAAUUGACGGGGGCCCGCACAAGCGGUGGAGCAUGUGGUUUAAUUCGAUGCAACGCGAAGAACCUUACCUACUCUUGACAUCCAGAGAACUUAGCAGAGAUGCUUUGGUGCCUUCGGGAACUCUGAGACAGGUGCUGCAUGGCUGUCGUCAGCUCGUGUUGUGAAAUGUUGGGUUAAGUCCCGCAACGAGCGCAACCCUUAUCCUUGUUUGCCAGCGAGUAAUGUCGGGAACUCCAGGGAGACUGCCGGUGAUAAACCGGAGGAAGGUGGGGACGACGUCAAGUCAUCAUGGCCCUUACGAGUAGGGCUACACACGUGCUACAAUGGCGCAUACAGAGGGCGGCCAACUUGCGAAAGUGAGCGAAUCCCAAAAAGUGCGUCGUAGUCCGGAUUGGAGUCUGCAACUCGACUCCAUGAAGUCGGAAUCGCUAGUAAUCGUGGAUCAGAAUGCCACGGUGAAUACGUUCCCGGGCCUUGUACACACCGCCCGUCACACCAUGGGAGUGGGCUGCAAAAGAAGUGGGUAG
rnacentral:rRNA from 1 species